rnacentral:rRNA from 1 species
CCUACGGGAGGCAGCAGUAAGGAAUAUUGGACAAUGCUCGCAAGAGUGAUCCAGCCAUGCCGCGUGCAGGAAGAAUGCCCUAUGGGUAGUAAACUGCUUUUGAACUAGAGAAAACCCCCAGUACGUGUACUGGGCUGAUAGUAUAGUUAGAAUAAGCAUCGGCUAACUUCGUGCCAGCAGCCGCGGUAAGACGAAGGAUGCAAGCGUUAUCCGGAUUCAUUGGGUUUAAAGGGAGCGUAGGUGGACUGAUAAGUCAGUGGUGAAAUCUCCGAGCUUAACUCGGAAAUUGCCAUUGAUACUGUUGGUCUUGAGUACAGUUGCUGUGGGCGGAAUAUGACAUGUAGUGGUGAAAUACAUAGAGAUGUCAUAGAACACCGAUUGCGAAGGCAGCUCACAAAGCUGUAACUGACACUGAGGCUCGAAAGUGCGGGGAUCAAACAGGAUUAGAUACCCUGGUAGUCCGCACCGUAAACGAUGAUUACUCGCUGCUAGGGGGCAACCUUUAGUGGCUUAGCGAAAGCGAUAAGAAUCCACCUGGGAGUACGCCGGCAACGGUGAAACGUACAAAGGAAUUAGACGG